GUUCCGUAGGUGAACCUGCGGAAGGAUCAUUAUCAUGUAAUUCAGUCCCCUUGGCUGUGUUAUAUAUAUACCCACUCUGUGUACCUUCUCCUGUUGCUUCCGCUGGGUGUGUAAUUCGCCCGGCGGAAGGGUAAAAAUAACCUCUGAGUAUUGAUGAAGUCUCUGUCUGAACCGAAUAGAAAGAAAAAUGUUAAAACUUUCAGCAACGGAUCUCUUGGUUCUC
rnacentral:misc_RNA from 1 species